UCUGAAAUUAUAGGUUUUCAGACUAAAUUAAAACAGAUAAUUAUUUCAUUUCGUAACAUAUCCUAUUGAUGUAAUCUAAACAAUUUAAACGGGACCUUAUUGUGUGAUACAUGAGAUGCGAAUGUAUUUAUGUACAUAUGUAGCUUUUAACAACAAUAUGAUUAUUCCCAAAAGCUCUAUCAAAUUGCCGCAGCGCGAACAGGUUCAAAUAAAACUAAACUAGUUUUGGUUUCUUUUGUAUAUUUUAUAAAGUCUGGCUUUAAAAAAUAAAUGCAUAAUAAAAAAAAAUACAAAAGAUAGGCAGAAAGAAGACAUCAAGUCUAUUGUCUGUAUAUGGAAUGGAGCAGUUUUCUAUCUGGCUUUCAGUGAGUUAAGGCUUGGGUGUAUCGAAUGAGAUACACAUAUAAAUGAAAGUAUGGAGAGAUGUAUUUAGGUUUUCAUGUAUUUCCAUGCAUACAUAUUUACUUGUUCAUAUGUAUUUUACACUGCUUCAGACGGCAAAAGAAAAGAAAGUGGCAGAAAAACUGUAAAUGAAUCAAAGCCACUCGGAGCGAUGGCGAUCGCCAUGCACAUCUGUGGUAUCUACCACUAUUUCGCGGGCAUAAGGCCAACAGGUACAUAUGUAAACCGCUUACUCUUUCAAGGAACACGCACGACCAUUCAUGCAAACGAAAGCCAGGUAACUGAAUAACCCACCAUAACCACUGCGCUGGCGGUUCAAAUCAAACCCACGAAGAGCUUGAGCGUGGUACGAUCGCAUUUGCAAAGGUAGUUUGGCUAGUUUAUUCGGGCCAAGCUGUAAAAAUUCAACUCCCAUCAGCUCCACAGCUUUUCACAUGAAAGAGCUUACUGUCCGUCAACUUGGACUUACUGGCAGUCUCACCCACGGCAUCAUAAAAAACUGAACAGGCAGCCAUGGUCUUCAAUUUAUUAUUAAUCGAAUUGUUCGUAACUGUCGAAAAGUAUUUCUUGUACCACGUAAUGAUUGACAGCUUCGUUGAUACGAGACAGUCUUUAAAUCUAAAUAAACUUAACAUUAUUUAACGGAUAUCUGGAAAGUGUGUCCUAUUUUCUAAUGCAAUAUUUAUUCGAAAUAAUAAUUACUACACCCAGUUAAAUAUUGCAGAAAUUCAUACAAAGGAAGAAAUAUUAUCUCAUCAUACCAAACUUACCAACGUACAUACAAUAAAGCUAGUGUGUAGUUUUAUAUGAGAAAUUCUCUUUGCCCGUAGCUCUUGUAGUCUUCGAGAUGUUUGUUAAUACUGAGACAGAUGACAAAAUGAACUACGAAAAAACGAUAUAUGAAGACCAGAUUAUACACAAAUAAACUAUGAAAUAAA